ensembl:snoRNA
CUGCAUACCAGUAGACCUUAUCUGGUUCUUCUAAUAGCCAGGUAAGGGGGAUGGUAUAUGCUACAAAAACCUGGGGCUGAUGUAGGUUAUGAUCAGCCUGAUGUGGCUGGUUGGACUGCAAUUCUCAGACAUAU